rnacentral:rRNA from 1 species
UACGAAGGGGGCUAGCGUUGCUCGGAAUCACUGGGCGUAAAGCGCACGUAGGCGGAUUGUUAAGUCAGGGGUGAAAUCCUGGAGCUCAACUCCAGAACUGCCUUUGAUACUGGCGAUCUCGAGUCCGGGAGAGGUGAGUGGAACUGCGAGUGUAGAGGUGAAAUUCGUAGAUAUUCGCAAGAACACCAGUGGCGAAGGCGGAGCUCGACCUGGCCCGAGUACCGUG